rnacentral:rRNA from 1 species
CAAUAGCGUAUAUUAAAGUUGUUGCGGUAAAAAAGCUCGUAGUUGGAUUUCUGUUGAGAGCGACCGGUCCAUACCAUGUAUGCGUAUCUGGCUUGCUCUCGGCAUCCUCUCGAUAGACGUUACUGCGCUUGAUUGCGUGGUGCGGAUCUCGGGACUUUUACUUUGAGGAAAUUAGGGUGUUCACGGCAGGCUUUCGCCAGAAUACAUUAGCAUGGAAUAAUACUAUAGGAUCUUGGUUCUAUUUUGUUGGUUUCUAGAAUUGAGAUAAUGAUUAAUAGGGACAAUUGGGGGCAUUCGUAUCAACACGUCAGAGGUGGAAUUCUUGGAUUGUGUUGCGACGAACUACUGCGAAAGCAUUUGCCAAGGAUGUUUUCAUUGA